rnacentral:misc_RNA from 1 species
GUCAUGUCUUGUUUAUGUUACCAGGUCUGGAGCAGUAAGGGACGGGCAUAAGUAGAGCAACAUGCCUGUUAAAACAGAGAUGGCUUCGUUGGAUCCGCCUCCUCCAGCUAAUUCUGGACAACCGGGCGUUACUCGCAGCCUCCUUUACAACGGGUCUAGGUUCCAGGGACACCAGAAAUCCAAGGGUCAAUCAUACGACGUUGAGGUGGUGUUGCAGCAUGUAGAUGAAGCUAAUUCCUACCUGUGUGGCUAUCUCAAAAUUAAGGGCCUGACCGAGGAGUAUCCAACAUUAACGACUUUCUUCGAUGGUGAAAUUAUUAGCGAAAAAUUUCCAUUCCUCACUCGAAAAUGGGAUGCGGACGAGGAGGUCGACAAGAAACAUUGGGGAAAAUUUCCGCCCUUCUAUCAGUAUACUAAAACCUUCAACUCCGAUACAUUUGACUACAGUGUGUUGAAGGAUUCGGAACACGUAUUUAUGCGAUGGAAGGAACACUUCCUUGUUCCAGACCACACUGUUAAGGACAUAAAUGGAGCAUCAUUUGCGGGUUUUUAUUAUAUCUGUUUCCAGAAGAGUGCAGCCACUAUUGAUGGAUAUUAUUAUCACAGAACUUCAGAAUGGAACACAUCCUGAUCGCUAAACGAGGGAUACCUGUACUGUACAAGCUACCAUUAAAUACUCCUGGCUCUAGUUCUCCCAAGAGGAGGAGACAUACACUGACUUUAGUAAAGUCAACCUGCAGAAAAGGUAUCAGUCCCUGAAUCUGACGCAUGUACCGGAACACAGCGUCCAGAUUUAUGAAUUCAGAUAAAGGGGCUCAAAUGGGCGUUGCUACUCUCAAGGCUUAGUGCAUAUGUGAUUUAUAUUUUAUUUGUUCCUCUUUAAAAAAAAUAUGUUUUAUUGGAAUGUUUGUGACUCUUUUAUUAGAUAGAGCUUAAUAACUCUAGUAAUCCAGUGGCUGAGCAUGGACCUGUGUGACUUUAUAUGUCCCUUAAAUUAUUCUUUAUUUUUAGUUAGUGUACCAUUUAAGGUAAGAGAAAAGUUAGGGUGACAUUCCUCAAACUGUUAAGUUACUGAGAUAUAGACUUUUAAGACUUCCAUAUGAUGCGACUAGAGAAAAUGUUUAUUUCUUCAGUGGAAGAACAUAUUUCGUUCCUUAAUGUAAAUUUUUUUUUUAUAAUUGCCUUCUUUUAUAUCAUAUGCAGUAUUAUAGCUGAGUACAGUACAAAUUAAAAUGUUUCAUAUGGUGAAAUUUAAGAAUAUAUGGAAAGGCAGAAUAAUAUGUCCAACAAAGGUUUCAUUUUCUCCCGUAAAUAACAUUUAUGGGAUUAUGGCGGUUAAUACAAAAUACUGUAGUUACAGUGUCAUAUUGUUUAUCAAAAUUCUUAUGAUUUAUAUGACUAUUUUUCGAGCAGGUUCUGUGUACUCAUACAUAAGCAAAACUCCAAAAACCUCACCCAUUUCCUGCUUUGAAAAUGUGUGAAGUUACGGUGUCCAGAAUACCGUUGCAAUGUAUUGUUUGUUCUCUGAACAUAUAACUAACUGCAAUUAUUUUGAGGUAAAUAAUAUCUCAAUGUGCCACGUAUUCCUUUCCUCUUGUCUCCAAUGAUGCAGGGUGAUUAUUUAUUUGAGAACCUGAAAUAAUUCCUGUACACUAAAAACUAUAUCAGUUUCUGAACCUAAUAUGUUGCGUAGCUGUAGCCUAAUGUAACAGAAAGACGUGACAUAAUCCUGAGAGUUAUCAGGUAUGACAUGAUUUGUUACUUGAUCCAUCAGUGGGGUUUAAUGGUUUUCACUCAGUUGUGCCAUGGCACUCACUGUGUUUGUUGUGUUGUGAGUGCCAUGACAUGACAUGACAGAGUGAAAACCGUUAAACGCCAUUGACGGACAACACAAAUACUAUCCCCAAACACAGCCCAUAAACAUAACACAGUAAAUACAAAUACAGUGAGUGCCAUGGCGUGACUGAGUAAAAACCGUUAAGCCCUGCUGGCAGGUCACGUGAUAAAUCAUGUCAUACCUGAGAACUCUCAGGAUCAUGUUACAUCUUUCUAUAGCAUUAGGCUACAUUUACGCAACAUAUUAGGUUCCUAACUGAUGUAGUUUUUAGGGUACAGUAUAGAAAUUAUUUUGGGUUCUCAAAUAAAGAAAUCACCCUGUACCUACACCGUUUUUUGAAGCUCAAUUAAUAGUUGGCACCUGGUACUGCUGAGAACAAUGUAGAACUACGCUUAACAACAAAUUUACCACACCUGAAUUGCUUAAAUACUUGUGGAGCAGUUUCUGGUAGCCUGUGCAUGUCUUCAAGGUACAGAGAAGCCUAUCUUAAGUAAUUGGUCCUGUCAAAUGUGUCAAACAAAGACAAGGCAGACUGUACACUCUACAGAUGGAGAUCCCAAUUUUGCUGUCAGCUCUCAUUAGAUUUAUAGCAACAAAUACUAUUGAAUGAAGGUUUCCCAGCAAGAGAUUGUCUCAGAUUCCAAUAUGUGCUUUGUUCUGAAUUCCUCAAAAUCAACAAAGAGCUGGCUGGAACAUUGAUCAAAAGCUACCAGACUUUCUUUAGCUUUUGUUCUUUCUGAAAUGUUAAGCUUCAGAUUCUGUAGAUGCUGGAUAGGUUCUUCAUAACUGUUUGUUCCACACUCUUCAAAAAAUCGGCACCACUGUCUUAUAAGUAUAUAGCCUUAUACAUCCUAGUACUGUACGUACUAUCUUAAUCAUGUGAAAAGAUCCUAAACUGAGAAUGAUGUCUUUAAACUCAUCUGGAUGCCAUAGCAUUAUCUCUCUGGCAAUGUGGUACACUCCCUCAUCACAGAAUGCUGGCAAUUUAUCCUGAGUUAACUGAUCAAGUCCAUUUUGAAAAUUUUUCGAAGCAGUGUAGACAGUUUUAUAAUAUGUAAAGGGAUGUGGCAGUAUGGGAAGAAGUCCUACAAAAUUCUCAGGAACUGACUCAUCAGUAACUUGAUCAUUGAAAGCACUCCAUGAUAGUGUACUUUUCUGAUUCACUAUAUCUGAUAAAGACUUUGUCUGCAUCAGACAGAUCUAACGUAGACAUACACCAAGCCAUGUCUUUGUGUCUAAUAUCUGUAUAGGCCUGCUUAUCCAUUGUAAAUAAAUCUUCUUGGACAUUGUAAGUUUAUGGAAUAUCUGCUAUUUUAGCAAGUUUGAUAAACUAUUUAAGUGUUGCCCUGACUUUAAUUUUACCUAAAGUGGUACACUAACUGAAAAUAAAGAAUAAUUUAGGUGACAUAUAAAGUCACACAGGACCAUGCUCAGCCACUGGACUAUUGUAUGUAUCAGUCAGCCGUGCUGUAUCAUGCAUUGAAGAAAAGCAGCUCAUACAUUUGUUUCAAGUUACUUGAAAGUUCCCUCUUGUUCAUUUGACUUUGUUGAUGUUACAUUAUUUUUGUAUACAGUACAGUACUUCACGAAAAUAAUGGAUUGCUUCCCCGGGCAAUCUUUGAAAUGUGAUCGGCCCAUUUUAAUGUAACUAAUAGAUUUAGUUAUGCGAUUUCGCUUUCUCAUUAACUUACUGUUAAGUGUUUAGGGACUUGUUUCUGAAAUGAAUGUAAAAAAAAAAUGUUUUUCUUCAUAAAAGAACAGCAUUUCUUUAGUACUGUUUAUGCCAUUAUAAAUAUAUAAAUAAAUAUAUAUAUAUAUAUUUUUCAUUACUUCACUUAUAAGAUGGGUUAGAGAAAGACCAAUUCCUUGUCAUAUGGUUAUGAGGUGAACUGUUAAGAAGAAUCAUUGAUACAGGAAAUAUUAGAUAAAAUUAGUUUUUUUUUUUCAAUUGACCAUAACAGUGGUUCUUGUUGCAUCAAGGAAAACCAUUUUUAAAUAUCUCAAUUUAGUGACAAGUGAGUAUGAUCUUAUGAUAUUUUAGUGUUUGUAAUUUUAUUUAAUGACUAGUCUUUUCCACUUUAUGAAUAAAAUUCAAUUGAAAUUUGUUGGAGUUGGUGUUCAGAGGCAAUAAACUUUAUAUUAGCUCCCAAAUUUAAUCGUGAUAAACAAAGCUAUCAUCAAGAGCUUCAGUAGGAACCCUUGGUUAUUCUCAGUGUUGUGUCAGGGACCUAGAGUUGGGAUAUUAUUAGGGAAAAGCAUUAGGAUAAUAUUGAGUCAUGAACCCACACAAGUUCUACUCUGCAAGAGAUGUGAAUUGUUAUAAAGUGCAGCUGUUAUCUUCAGAUUUGACUGUUGUCUUUUAUUAGAGUACAGUACGUAUAAUACAAUGCUUUUAAAUGACAUGUUUUAUCAGUACACUUACGUAUGGAUAUUUAUUCUAAAUGGAAUAACCAUUUCUCUCAUUACAGUGAGUUAAGUAUUUUGUGAAAGGUUUUUAAAUUGAUGAUCUUUUUCUGUAUUCUGUGUCCAAAUAUAAAUAUUUUAUUAUUUUAUUAAGCAGAUAGCAUGGUGAAAAUUCUCUCUUCUUUGUUUUUACUCUCUAAGAAUGAUCACUAGAACUUAUUUCAUUUUUAUUUGCUUCAGAGUGCAGUAUAUAAGUUAGAUGAUUAUUUUUUGUUUGUCCGGAAUGUAAAAAAAAAAAGAAGAAAUUAACAAAAGAUCUGGAACUUGCACUCAACAUAUUGCUCCCAGAGUUCUGGAAGUGAGAUACCAAGGGAUUGAGAGUUAUAGGUUGUGUUUAUACUGAAUCAUGUUUUAAUGAAGGCUAAUCUAGUUUGCUCUACUUUGUCAAAAUUAAUAAUUGUGUAUAACCUUAUGUCACCAGAGUUUGUUGUAUAAGCGCAUGUUGGUAUUAUUUUUAUUAACAAAAUAAGUUAGGGAUCAGUUGCUUAGUUAUUAGUGAUUCUUUGCCAUGUAAUGUUUGUGGUAUUAAGUACUGUAGUUGAUAUAUAUGUAGUAUCUGCUACAUAAACAGCCAACCAAAGUAUUGUACAGUAAAUUUAUUACUAUAAAUGAUAACCGGUGGUUCUCUUUGGUGUUAUCAAGGGUAUGCCUGCAUAUGUGAAUUAAUUUGUGUGUGUGUAAUAAUAAUAAUAAUAAUAAUAAU